rnacentral:misc_RNA from 1 species
UCCCCGCCCGAAAAUCAUAAUGGCCGCCGCACAGCAAAAAUUGCUGGACGGUUUUCAUUCCGAUCUUUGGGCGGGGCAGUCUCGUGUGACACUUGUAACACACGAUAGGGGUUGCGCUCGUUAACUGACUUAACAGAACAUCUCAAGACACGAGCUGACGACAACCGUGCAGCACCUGUGCCAGCAGUUCCGAAGAAAGGCAACCCUUUCGGGCCGCUGUCCACUGGCAUUUCAAACCCCGGUGAGGUUUUUCGGUCUGUAUCGAAUUAAACCGCAUGAUCCACCGCUUGUGCGAGUCCCCGUCUAUUCCUUUGAGUUUUAAGCUUGCGCUCGUACUUCCCAGGCGGCCUGCUUAACGCGUUAGCUACGCCACUCCGAGGGUCGAUACUCGAAACAGCUA